CCCAACCCAAUGUGAACCAUACCAAACUGUUGCCUCGGCGGGGUCACGCCCCGGGUGCGUCGCAGCCCCGGAACCAGGCGCCCGCCGGAGGGACCAACCAAACUCUUUUCUGUAGUCCCCUCGCGGACGUUAUUUCUUACAGCUCUGAGCAAAAAUUCAAAAUGAAUCAAAACUUUCAACAACGGAUCUCUUGGUUCUGGCAUCGAUGAAGAACGCAGCGAAAUGCGAUAAGUAAUGUGAAUUGCAGAAUUCAGUGAAUCAUCGAAUCUUUGAACGCACAUUGCGCCCGCCAGUAUUCUGGCGGGCAUGCCUGUCCGAGCGUCAUUUCAACCCUCGAACCCCUCCGGGGGGUCGGCGUUGGGGAUCGGGAACCCCUAAGACGGGAUCCCGGCCCCGAAAUACAGUGGCGGUCUCGCCGCAGCCUCUCCUGCGCAGUAGUUUGCACAACUCGCACCGGGAGCGCGGCGCGUCCACGUCCGUAAAACACCCAACUUCUGAAAUGUUGACCUCGGAUCAGGUAGGAAUACCCGCUGAACUUAAGCAUAUCAA
rnacentral:rRNA from 1 species